AGCACUGUAGGUGCCAGCCGCCGCGGUAAUACGUAGGUGGCAAGCGUUGUCCGGAAUUAUUGGGCGUAAAGCGCGCGCAGGCGGUCCUUUAAGUCUGAUGUGAAAGCCCACGGCUCAACCGUGGAGGGUCAUUGGAAACUGGGGGACUUGAGUACAGAAGAGGAAAGCGGAAUUCCACGUGUAGCGGUGAAAUGCGUAGAGAUGUGGAGGAACACCAGUGGCGAAGGCGGCUUUCUGGUCUGUAACUGACGCUGAGGCGCGAAAGCGUGGGGAGCAAACAGGAUUAGAUACCCUGGUAGUCCACGCCGUAAACGAUGAGUGCUAAGUGUUAGAGGGUUUCCCGCCCUUUAGUGCUGCAGCUAACGC
rnacentral:rRNA from 1 species